rnacentral:rRNA from 1 species
GACGAACGCUGGCGGCAGGCCUAACACAUGCAAGUCGAACGGUAGCACAGAGAGCUUGCUCUCGGGUGACGAGUGGCGGACGGGUGAGUAACGUCUGGGAAACUGCCCGAUGGAGGGGGAUAACUACUGGAAACGGUAGCUAAUACCGCAUAACGUCGCAAGACCAAAGUGGGGGACCUUCGGGCCUCACACCAUCGGAGGUGCCCAGAUGGGAUUAGCUAGUAGGUGGGGUAAUGGCUCACCUAGGCGACGAUCCCUAGCUGGUCUGAGAGGAUGACCAGCCACACUGGAACUGAGACCCGGUCCAGACUCCUACGGGAGGCAGCAGUGGGGAAUAUUGCACAAUGGGCGCAAGCCUGAUGCAGCCAUGCCGCGUGUAUGAAGAAGGCCUUCGGGUUGUAAAGUACUUUCAGCGGGGAGGAAGGCGGUGAAGUUAAUAACUUCACCGAUUGACGUUACCCGCAGAAGAAGCACCGGCUAACUCCGUGCCAGCCGCCGCCGUAAGAC